rnacentral:lncRNA from 1 species
ACAAUGGCCACGACCUGACGCGCGAGCGCCAGCCCCAGCCCGGGAGUCACGCCGCUGGCGCUUGACGCACGCGGAGACCCGGGGGCCGUGCCCCAGCUUUGUGGAACCUGAGGGCGGCUCGGGUCAGGUCGGUCCCCGCGGGAGGACAGGCGCGACCCGUCCCUCAGGACCGACGGCGUGUGGCUGCGGGGGCAUGGGGUGCCCCUCUCGGCCCGGUCGCUCCAGCGAGGGGACGCUGCUUUUUAUAGUCUUCAACAACAACCAGUCCCUACAUUUAAGAAGGUUAAUAACUGAGACAGCCUUCCUGGUGGAUCCAUCAUUUGGCCCAGCUUGUAGAAAGAUUCCCAACUAGCUCUAAUUAGUUCCAUCUUAUUUGGAGGCAGAGGUAUUCCUCAUCAUACCCAUAUCCUCAUAUAAAUUGUCCAGUGCCCUAGGUACCAGGGAGAAAGAAGACGAAGAAGGACAUAUACCAGAAGCACAUUAAUAGGCUGCUGAAAAACUCUGCCACACUUUCAGAUGACAGGUCACCUACAGAUAAAUGAUUCAAGGAUCAACCAAGUUCUGAAGUUUUUUUUUGUUUUUUUUUUUUGGGAUAGAGUCUCACUGUGUCACCCAGGCUGGAGUGCAGUGGCGUGAUCUCAGCUCACUGCAACCUCUGCCUCCCGAGUUCAAGUGAUUCUCCUGCCUCAGCCUCCCAAGUAGCUGGGAUUAUAGGUGCCUGCCACCAGGCCUGGCUAAUUAUUUUUUGUAUUUUUAGUAGAAACAUAGUUUCACUAUGUUGGCCAGGCUGGUCUUGAACUCCUGACCUUGUGAUCCACCCGCCUCAGCCUCCCAAAGUGCUGGGAUACAGGUGUGAGCCACCAUGCCCGGCCAGUUCUUAAUACUGCCAGGAGUGCUUUAGAAGGCUGGGAAUAUGGGGCGAAAGAUUAGACACCCAAGCUGUUGAAAACCACACAGAGUUUCAGUAAAUAUAUGCACAAUUUGAAAAAUAUAUUUGCAAAAAUCUAGGUGUCUCCGGUCUAGUCCUUCCUAUUAAUCAAAUAAAUUACCGAGCUUCAUGGCCCAGUCUAUGAUCCUAGUUCUGACCGCUGCUGCCCGUAAAGGCCUCAAUGAAUUCCUCUCUGAGCUUCCAGACUUCCUUGGCUGGUGACUUGUUCCUCUUGGGACAGCUUUUGCUUGAGCUGAGCAGCCUGGCCCCCAGCUGUGCAGGGCCCUCUCUCCGGUGAGAGGAAACGCUUUCAGCUUAGUCUGUUAACACAAACAUUCAAAAGCAAACAUUCAAAAGCCACAGAUCAUGUUCGCAUAAAUAAAAUAGGAUUGAGAAAAGCUUUGCCCCAAGAAACCAAAGGGGUGUUUAAAAAACAGCUCUUGCUUUCCAAGUAGGCAGGCAGCAAAGCCACAGCAAUUCCAAAGGUUUGUGUGCUUGGUAGAGCUGGGUGGCUGCAGCCGCAGGCCUUUGAAGAGGAAAUGCCAUCCCUGGUACAGGCAGGCGGCCAACCCAUGAGUCCUGAAAGUACCAGAGAGAAGCAGAAAGCAGGGGAGCACAGUUAGGAAGUGAAAAGGGAGAGGAAGGCACCAAGGAGAUAAAUGAGGAGACUCUUCUUAUCUAGAGUUCCCACCCCAGACCUAAGAGCUACAGGACAGAGGAACUCACUGUGCCUGACAGAGCUGGGGCCUGGUGAGUCCUAGGUGGCGGGCACAGCCCAGAGUGACUAAGGCUGUGAGGAGGGGUGUGCGCCGUCACUGAGGGGUGGAGAGGGGUGGUGGUGUCUGGGCUGGGAGAUGCCUUUGCUUUGAAAGCUUUGGAGGAAAUUAACUUUACAAGGUGCCUCCCUGUCUCCCAGAGUUAUUAAAAGAAAGGAGGGAGCAAAGAAGAAAUGGAAAAAUGGUAAUACCUCAGGAAGGGCUGUGUGAUCCCAACUGGAGGAAAUGGGAGGCAGAUGAAGUGACGAAUGUGCAACCUCUCCUAAGGGAGGAAGAGCUCUGAAUGUGACCUUGUGCAAAUGGAAAAAAAAAAAAACAAACAAACAAAAACACACACAAAUCCAACAAGAGCCAGUGUGACUAACGAGAAAACACACACACAUGCAAACACACACACAUACAGCCCUUUGAAGAUCUAGAAAUGAGUGACUAAUUAAAUAGCCUAAAAACCUCCAAGUGCAUAAAGUUUCUGUCAGUACUCCUGUUUCAAUAAAGCAGCAGUGAAAGCCCAUAGAAUGGCAGGAGU